rnacentral:rRNA from 1 species
UGGCGUAAGGGUGAGUAACGCGUGGGCAAUCUACCUUCAAGAUGGGGAUAACCUGGCGAAAGCUGGGCUAAUACCGAAUGUGGUCACUUGGCGCAAGCCUGGAUGACUGAAGGCGGGGUCUCGCAAGAGGCCUGUCGCUUGAAGAGGAGCCCGCGUCCUAUCAGCUAGUUGGUGAGGUAACGGCUCACCAAGGCUAUGACGGGUAGCUGGUCUGAGAGGAUGGUCAGCCACAUUGGGACUGAGAUACUGCCCAGACUCCUACGGGAGGCUGCAGUCGAGGAUCAUUCGCAAUGCGCGAAAGCGUGACGAUGCGACGCUGCGUGGAGGAUGAAGGCCUUCGGGUCGUAAACUCCUGUCAUUCGGGAUCAAUGCCACGGGGACUAAUACUCACCGUGGAGGGAUAGUACCGGAAGAGGAAGUCACGGCUAACUCUGUGCCAGCAGCCGCGGUAAUACAGAGGUGGCAAGCGUUGUUCGGAUUUACUGGGCGUAAAGGGUGCGUAGGCGGUUUUGCGUGUCGGGUGUGAAAUUCUGCUGCUCAGUGGCAGAGCUGCGUCCGAAACUACAAAACUGGAGUGCAGGAGAGGAAAGCGGAAUUCUUGGUGUAGCGGUGGAAUGCGUUGAUAUCAAGAGGAACACCGGUGGCGAAGGCGGCUUUCUGGAAUGCAACUGACGCUGAGGCACGAAAGUUGGGGGAGCAAACAGGAUUAGAUACCCUGGUAGUCCCAACUGUAAACGGUGCACACUGGGUGUGGGGGGGGAUUUGACCCUCCCCGGUGCCGCAGUUAACACGAUAAGUGUGCCGCCUGGGGAGUACGGCCGCAAGGCUAAAACUCAAGAAAUUGACGGGGCCCGCACAAGCGGAGGAGCAUGUGGCUCAUUCG